UCUGAUGCCAAAAUCUAAGUAAUCUUCUGCUGCUCCUCCUUGCCUUUUACCCAAAAGCAGCUCACAUACCCGUAACACAUUAUGCUGUCACAAUCAUUAUCCACCAACCUUUAGAAACACAGGAGAAAAGACUUAAGACGAUAACCUGGAGCCCUGCCUAGUCCCAUUGCUUUGACCUCUCAGCCUGUCUCACAAUGAUGUCUCCAAGCACAGGCAUACAUAAGCUGCCUGUGCAACAUUUUUGGCCUUCUCCCUUGAGUACUUGCUCUGGCCAAUUUUUCUAAUCAGUGAUCAGUGAUCAGCAGACCAUCAAAUGGGCCAUACACACCCAGCAGAUGGCAGUGGCUGUGCUCAAGCAUGACAUGACAGCUCUUUGCACACAGAACUGGCUACAGAACAAAGCAGACUGUUCAGGCCACCAAGGCACAGGUCUGCCCCUCCUCUGAGCCCCAAGUAAAGCAGUUUGCUACCUGCUAAGGCACCUGAGUGUCCUAUUGAAGGAAGUCCCAGAGCAUCCCCAUGGAAGCAGACUCUGAAGCAACUUGUCUGCAUCCACCUCACAAAAAGAAGUCCAGAACAGGAGCCAGUAUACCCAUUAUGCUCUCAGCAGCAUCUCACAGGGGACUGCCAGUUCUGCCUUGUGAUAGAGCAUUUCCAUUUGUGCUUCCCAGUGUUUGCACAGGUAUUUUCUUACAUUGGCAUAUGAGAUAUGAGUUUGUGUUACAAAAAUUGGUGCAUAUUUCAUGAGUGUGCUUUCCUAAAUGGAGAUAGUGUCUCUGCGCCUCAUACCUGCUGGAAAUCAAAGCAUUGCUCUUUUUCAAAUCAAUUGGAAUUAGUUCUGUGCAUGAGCUUUCUGAAAGCACCAUAAAAACUUUACAAAAAGCAAGCAAGAAUACUUGGUGUGGUUCAUCUCCUCAUGGACCUAAACUUGUGACAAGGAAACUGGGAAGUCAAUCUAGGUGAGGAGCUUACAGCACAGCAUUUGGGAGCUCUGGAGGGAGCAGGUGGAAUUGACAAUAUUCCUGCAUUUUGCUUAUUAACAACUGGAAGGGAAAGUGAGGGCACAUCAGUUUGGUUGAAGACAAGUGUGAGUUAGAUUGCAAGACAGAUCUGGUCCUACCUUGCUGAAGACAGUACGUGGACUGAAGAGC